AUAUUUACCUUGGGACAGGGCCUCGUUGAUCACCGACGAUGAGCCCCCAGGGCGAAGCGCGGGCACUGCACUGCGCUCGCGUUGGCCCCUGUCACUACCCCAAAACUGGGGCAGAUGGUGUAGGCGAAUCACCUAAAUCC
rnacentral:snRNA from 1 species